ACCAUGUAGCUCUAGACAAUAUUCAAAAAUUAGCAAAAUUAGAUGAUCUUAGUGCAGUCUAUGAAGCAACAUUUCAAGUUAGAGCCAAAUGGAAGCAGAUGUUGUUAGCUCUGCAAGUUAAUAAUACAGUAGAACCUCUCUAUAACGGACGCCUUUGGGGAACAAUGUUUUGGCCUUUAUACAGAGGUGGCCUUUGUUGAGGGGUUGUUUUGUACACAAACUGUUCAUUUGGGACCUGGGUGCCUGGCUGUUAUAUAGCAGCUGGCCUUUAUUCGGAGGUGGUUAACGGAGGUUCCACUGUACUAGAAACUAUCAACAUCAUGAAGAUGUCGUGAAGAUCCUGAUAACUGCAUGCUAUCUUGAGGGUCUAUCAGAGUGGCUAAAGGUGAAGAGAGAAGCUGGACAGACGUGUUUAAGGCUCUCUCACGCCGCUGUGUGUCUGUGUCUGUGUCUGUCACUGCUCAGUUUGGCUUACCUGGUGAUUUAGGCAUCACAAUUUGUAUGUAGGGAAACUUGUAGUAUUAAAUCUAAGGCUUAAAAUUUGGCAGAUUUUGCAAAUAAGUCUUUGUUUUGCAGAAAAGGCGAGCUAAACCGUAUCUAUGGCUAAACCUAGACGGGCAUCGCUGCCCUCCCUGAAGGAGGACGGGAACCAAGCCUAUAUUUACCCAGAGGAGGUACAACAGGUGUGGUGCAGCUCAAGUAAUUAGCCUCUGAUUACUCUCAGCAAAAACAUACGACGUAAUUAUUGCUCCUCUGCCUAUCUACAUGUAGUUUCAUGGAUCAGCCCCCCCAUGAGACUAAUCUACAUGUACAGUUUUGUUCUGGCUUGUUACGCAGUAGCAUUAUGAACUCAUUAUUUUUAUGUGGAACAGGGUCCAUACAAUAGAAAGCUAGAAUUGUGUCUGGUUGAGCUGACUCCGGGAUCCUAUUCCAGGAGCCAUACUUCUCUGCAUGAGACUCCACGCUUCUUUGCUGUGACCCUAGUCCACAGUGCAUAUAUCUAUAUAUGUGCCACUAAAACCCUGUUCUCAAAUGUUUUAGCAUGCCUCCAGUCUAGUUUAGCUCCUGAAUUGCUGUGCUAGACAGUUAAGCCAUACAUGAUAUUCAUCACUACAUUGCUGUAUUAUAUCACUCUUCUGGUUUCUUUAUAAUCAUGUCAUGUCACCAGCCGAGGGUUUGCACUUUAGUGCUCUAGGUAUACACAUGCAUGCACUCUAAGGCAUGUGGUUUCAGGAGAGUGGUAUGAAGAGUGUAUUCAUGCACUAGCUCCAGGCUGCUGCUUAAUUAACAGGCAUAAUACUUAAAGUACGUUAAUAUUAGGCUUCGAAACUAUGCACAGACAUGUAUGCACUCCAGUAUCGUGUUACUUUAUGAGCCACUCCCGGCUCCAUGUAAUCUGAGAACAGUGAGAAGCAAAAGCAUCAAAGAAAGAACUUUCAAAACUGUAUAUCUGCAUACCAUCAGUGAUCUGACUUGGCUUUGACAAGCAUCAGGCUCGGAGUGAACUUUAACCCUAUACUUCAACUGACGUCAGAUAUGUGGAUCUAUAGUGUAUGUACAGAAGUUUCAAGAAUCGAACAAUCUGAUUGGACGUUGUCAGCUAAGAAUAUUGUGUAGUGAUACUGCUGAUAGGCUGAGAAAUGUCUUUAUUAUUUGUGUGUUCCAGGAGCCUUUCGUGUAUGUGCAGUGCAUGUGUGACAUGGCAGUGAGUAAGCUCUCACACUCAAUCCAGCCACUCAAUCUCAUGAGCUGCAUGACACGUAACCUUAUAACUCCCUGAUGAAUACUAUAAUUAUGAGCUCUUUUUGCAUGGGGGAUACACUUAAGAAUUUGUGCAUGUAUAUAGCAUUAGACUAGCUGCAAAACCGCUUAAAAAUUCUAUAUUCAGACAAAACUGCAUAAGGUCUAUGAGAGGUGCAAUAUGACAACAAAUGUUGGUUAUGAUGUAUUGGUGAGUUGCAACGAGCAGCUAGCUGCUGACUUCGCUUCAGAUCCGGGAGGAUACGCUGGAGUUUUGUUCCAAAACCAUUUGAUAUCAGAAGAAACGAAUCAGGAAAUCCAGCUUGACAAAACAAACACGGCAAAAGCCAGGAUUUUAGUGCUAGAAUUGCAGGCAAAAGUCAAAAGUUUUCCAGGAAUUUAUGAUAAAUUCAUUGCAAUACUUCGGGAAAGGAAUGAGCGACAUGAUGACCUCCUCUUAUCAGUGCUUACAGAUAAGUACGAAGCUGUGGAUCAAGUACAAGGAGUUAGAAGCUGUAACAGACAGACAUAAUACUGGUACAUAGAUAUAGUAAUUACACUGCUGCCAACUCAGACACAGCUAUUAGCUCUAUGUUUUUCCUAUAUAUAAUUAUGGAGACCAUCGUGGAAGUAUAUACAUAUAUUAUUUUUGAUCUUGA